AGCGAACGCUGGCGGCAGGCCUAACACAUGCAAGUCGAACGGACCCUUCGGGGUUAGUGGCGGACGGGUGAGGAACACGUGGGAACGUGCCUUUUGGUUCGGAACAACUCAGGGAAACUUGAGCUAAUACCGGAUGUGCCCUUCGGGGGAAAGAUUUAUCGCCAUUAGAGCGGCCCGCGUCUGAUUAGCUAGUUGGUGGGGUAAAGGCUCACCAAGGCGACGAUCAGUAGCUGGUCUGAGAGGAUGAUCAGCCACACUGGGACUGAGACACGGCCCAGACUCCUACGGGAGGCAGCAGUGGGGAAUCUUGCGCAAUGGGCGAAAGCCUGACGCAGCCAUGCCGCGUGAAUGAUGAAGGUCUUAGGAUUGUAAAAUUCUUUCACCGGGGACGAUAAUGACGGUACCCGGAGAAGAAGCCCGGCUAACUUCGUG
rnacentral:rRNA from 1 species